rnacentral:lncRNA from 1 species
AUGCUUGAAGUCUCUGGGUCUGCCAGGAGGAAGCAGCAGCUCCAAAGUGCCUCACUGGCCGACCCAGGGGAUUCCUCCAGCCCAGCAGCAGGGAGCACUGCCAGAAAGCCAGCAGGGGAAACGGCAGGGAGGGAGCAAAUUGAUCCAGCUGGGAAGGUGCAAUUCAGCCAGAAAGCACCAUUGGAGGGGCAACAUUUCUGAACUCUACAGAAGUGCAUGCAAGCAAAAACGUGAACACGGUGGUCUGAUUUUGAGCUCAGUCAUGCAGGUAUGUAACUUCACUUAGACGAACCCUUCCGCUGACUCGAUGGAGAGCAGCUAUGCUUAACUUUAAACCUAUAAUUGAGGUUGUGUGCUGGAUCGUGUGCUGGAACAUUAGGGGACAAAGGCAUGAUUUGUUGAACAGUUUUCUUAUGGCUGCAUAAAAAGCAUAUAUUUUAUAAAUAAAACCAUUUCACCGCUAAAAAGGAAAUGACUU